AUCCAGCAAUGCCGCGUGUGUGAAGAAGGCCUUCGGGUUGUAAAGCACUUUUGUCCGGAAAGAAAUCCUUUGGGCUAAUACCCUGAGGGGAUGACGGUACCGGAAGAAUAAGCACCGGCUAACUACGUGCCAGCAGCCGCGGUAAUACGUAGGGUGCAAGCGUUAAUCGGAAUUACUGGGCGUAAAGCGUGCGCAGGCGGUYCGCUAAGACAGAUGUGAAAUCCCCGGGCUUAACCUGGGAACUGCAUUUGUGACUGGCGGGCUAGAGUAUGGCAGAGGGGGGUAGAAUUCCACGUGUAGCAGUGAAAUGCGUAGAGAUGUGGAGGAAUACCGAUGGCGAAGGCAGCCCCCUGGGCCAAUACUGACGCUCAUGCACGAAAGCGUGGGGAGCAAACAGGAUUAGAUACCCUG
rnacentral:rRNA from 1 species